rnacentral:rRNA from 1 species
UACGGGAGGCAGCAGUGGGGAAUAUUAUACAAUGCAGGCAAUCCUAAUCCGGCCAUGCCGCGUGUGUGAAGAAGACCUUUCGCCUUGUAAAGCGAUUAAGUCUUGUGAAGAAGAGCUAAUACGGUUAAUACCGGUUAGCGAUGACAUACCU